rfam:Gossypium hirsutum cultivar TM-1 unplaced genomic scaffold scaffold1048.1, whole genome shotgun sequence
UGUUAAAAAUUUUAUCCAUUUCUACUGUUAAAAACUAGCGUAGUUGACAAAAUAACCAAACAGUUACAUAUGGCGUGCUAUGUGUACCUUAUAUUGAUAUAUAGGGACCAGUUUUUAACGGUAUAAAUAGAUGAAAUUUUUAGUA